rnacentral:rRNA from 1 species
GACGAACGCUGGCGGCGUGCCUAAUACAUGCAAGUCGAACGAGAGCGACCGGUGCUUGCCCUCGUCAAUCUAGUGGCGAACGGGUGAGUCACUCGUGGUUAACCUGCCCAUCAGAAGGGGAUAACAUCCGGAAACGGUUGCUACAACCGCAUAGGUCUUCGACCCGCAUGGUUUGCAGAGGAAAAUAGCCGCAUGCUUCUGCUGAUGGCUGGACCCGCGGUGCAUUAGCUAGUUGGUGAGGUAACGGCUCACCACGGCCGUGAUGCAUAGCCGACCUGAGAGGGAGGACGGCCACAUGGGGACUGAGACACGGCCCAAACUCCGACGGGAGGAAGCAGUAGGGAAUCUUCCGCAAUGGACGAAAGUCGGACGGAGCAACGCCGCGUGAGUGAAGAAGGUGUUCGGAUCGUAAAACGCUGUAGUUAGAGAAGAACUAGUGCUAGAGUAACUGUGAGGGUCUUGACGGUAUCUAACCAGAAAGCCACGGCUAACUACGUG